rnacentral:tRNA from 1 species
GCCGAGGUGGCGGAAUUGGCAGACGCGCUAGCUUGAGGGGCUAGUGAUCGCAAGAUCGUAUGGGUUCAAGUCCCAUCCUCGGCA